AGGUCCCCAAAUAUUUGUCACAGCAGUGGAAUAAAGCUUCAGGAAGAGGUGAAGUGGGGAAACUAAGGAUUGCCAAAAAUCAAGGAAGAACAGAAGUAAGUAAUUGCUAAAUACGAAGGUGGUGGAUAUAUUGUAUUUUGAAUUCUGAAAUUGCUUAGAACA